rnacentral:rRNA from 1 species
GACGAACGCUGGCGGCGUGCUUAACACAUGCAAGUCGAACGCACCUUCGGGUGAGUGGCGGACGGGUGAGUAACGCGUAGGUAAUCUACUCUUCAGUGGGGGAUACCCAGCCGAAAGGUUGGUUAAUACCGCAUACGCUCCUGUGCAGAGAGGUACAGGAGGAAAGGUUUACUGCUGAGGAAUGAGCCUGCGUCCGAUUAGCUAGUUGGUGGGGUAAAGGCUCACCAAGGCGACGAUCGGUAGCUGGUCUGAGAGGACGAUCAACCACACUGGAACUGAGACACGGUCCAGACUCCUACGGGAGGCAGCAGUGGGGAAUUUUCCGCAAUGGGCGAAAGCCUGACGGAGCAACGCCGCGUGGGUGAUGAAGUUUUUCGGAACGUAAAACCCUUUCGCCAGGGACGAAGCGAGUGACGGUACCUGGAGAAGAAGCAUCGGCUAACUACGUGCCAGCAGCCGCGGU